GACGAACGCUGGCGGCGUGCUUAACACAUGCAAGUCGAACGGAAAGGCCCUGCUUUUGUGGGGUGCUCGAGUGGCGAACGGGUGAGUAACACGUGAGUAACCUGCCCUUGACUUUGGGAUAACUUCAGGAAACUGGGGCUAAUACCGGAUAGGAGCUCCUGCUGCAUGGUGGGGGUUGGAAAGUUUCGGCGGUUGGGGAUGGACUCGCGGCUUAUCAGCUUGUUGGUGGGGUAGUGGCUUACCAAGGCUUUGACGGGUAGCCGGCCUGAGAGGGUGAGCGGCCACAUUGGGACAGAGAUACGGCCCAGACUACUACGGGAGGCAGCAGUGGGGAAUAUUGCACAAUGGGCGGAAGCCUGAUGCAGCAACGCCGCGUGCUGGAUGACGGCCUUCGGGUUGUAAACCGCUUUCGCCUGUGACGAAGCGUGAGUGACGGUAAUGGGUAAAGAAGCACCGGCUAACUACGUG
rnacentral:rRNA from 1 species